GAUACAGGGACCCUGUUCGGGCGCCAUUUGUGGCAAGCGCACUCUGUCGCUGGUGCAGAACGAAGACACGUAUGAAUUCACAGCAACUGUUACCUAGGAGGAGGGGAGCAUGGAACAGAUAUUGUGGAGUCUCCAUGGAUUCAUCAAGGACUACUACAUAGAGAAGUGAAAGUGAUCUUCAAGAGCAACAGGUGGCAGAUGUCCCCAUAGAAGUCUGUGUCCUGAACUGGCAGGUCUUUCACCACAGCAUGCAUUUCCUUUGGUUUUGAUAGAAAUUUAUGCUGUACUGCAACCAUCUUUUUAAGGAUAGCUGCUGCAUUCCUCUAUCUUACUCCUUGCUAAAGUGUACUGCAUUUCCUAUCUUCUCUUCUGGUGAGGAGACAGCACAUACUUUGGGCAAGGUUCAUAUAUCUGGACAUGUGACGUGCUUUCUGGAGUGUCAGCUAUUUGGUAACAGUGCCAACUCAGUUGAAAACAUCUUUCUUAUCUUCACUGAACUUCAAGGAGAUUUUUGUUUCCUAACGGAAGUUAAUAAAUUAGCUAUGGUGGACAGUGAUGUGAUCCUUUUGAUAAGUGAGGAUUUUUUUCUUGGAAAGUCUGGAUGCCGACUUUGUAACUCUCACUGCAUGGCUAGAAAUAUGGCACACUGAGUGUAGUAACUUGGUCAACGUUUUUGCUUUACUAAGACACUCACUGAGGAUGUCUGCACUGCAGAGAAACUGAGCGACAUCCUACGGCCCAAGGCUUUGCCAUUUUAGUCAGCUGAGGAUUUAUUAUGAAGCUGCUGUGCGCUAGAAGCAAUUGUUCUCAUAGGUAACACAGAAGUUGUCAUCUGACCUUCACCUUGUACCUAUAGCUUCCU
rnacentral:lncRNA from 7 species